UUCCAAAGAUGGAUUGGUGCCUUUGGGAACAUUGAGACCGGUGGUGCAUGGCUGUUGUCAGCUUGUGUCUUGAGAUGUUGGGUUAAGUCCCGUAACGAGGGCAACCCUUUUCCUUAGUUACCAGCAGGUUAUGGUGGGCACUCUAAGGAGACUGCCGGUGACAAACCGGAGGAAGGUGGGGAUGACGUCAAGUCAUCAUGGCCCUUACGGCCUGGGCUACACACGUGUUACAAUGGUCGGUACAGAGGGUAGCCAAGCCGCGAGGUGGAGCUAAUCCCACAAAACCGAUUGUAGUCCGGAUCGCAGUCUGCAACUGGACUCCGUGAAGUCUGAAUCGUUAGUAAUCGCGAAUCAGAAUGUUGCGGUGAAUACGUUCCCGGGCCUUGUACACACCGCCCGUCUCACCAUGGGAGUGGGUUGCACCAGAAGUAGGUAGUCUAACCUUCGGGAGGAGCGGUUACCACGGUGUGAUUCAUGACUGGCGGAAGUCGAAC
rnacentral:rRNA from 1 species